rnacentral:rRNA from 1 species
CGCGUAGGCGGCCAAGCAAGUCGGAGGUGAAAUCCCUCGGCUCAACCGGGGAAUUGCCUCCGAUACUGCUUGGCUUGAGUCCCGGAGAGGGUGGCGGAAUUCCGAGUGUAGCGGUGAAAUGCGUAGAUACUCGGAGGAACACCGGUGGCGAAGGCGGCCACCUGGACGGGUACUGACGCUGAGGCGCGAAAGCUAGGGGAGCAAACA